UAGUUCAGGUUUUUCUUCAAUCACUUGCAAAUCUUUUGCCUUUUACUAAAGUUUUCCGUGGAGGGGAACAUUGACGAGUUCUUCUUAUUUUUGAAGGCUCUGCUAUGGCAGAGCU
ensembl:snRNA U5 U5 spliceosomal RNA